UACAGGGGUGGCAAACGUUGCUCGGAAUCGAUUGGCGUAAAGCGCACGUAGGCGGUUUGUUAUGUCGGAUGAUGAACGCCCUUGGCUCAACUAAGGAAGUGCAUCCGAAACUGGCAGCGUGGAGUACUAAAGAGGGGUCGCGGAAUUCCCGGUGUAGAGGUGAAAUUCGUAGAUAUCGGGAGAACACCGGGUGCCGAAGGCGGCGAACCUGGGUAGAUACGUGACGCUGAGGUGCGAAAGCGUGGGGAGCAAACAGGGAU
rnacentral:rRNA from 1 species